UACGUAGGGUCCGAGCGUUGUCCGGAAUUAUUGGGCGUAAAGGGCUCGUAGGCGGUUUGUUGCGUCGGGAGUGAAAACCCAGGGCUUAACUCUGGGCUUGCUUUCGAUACGGGCAGACUUGAGGCAUUGAGGGGAGAACGGAACUCCUGGUGUAGCGGUGAAAUGCGCAGAUAUCAGGAAGAACACCGGUAGCGAAGGCGGUUCUCUGGCAAUGUUCUGACGCUGAGGAGCGAAAGUGUGGGGAGCAAACAGG
rnacentral:rRNA from 1 species